AGAGUGAACGCUGGCGGUAGGCCUAACACAUGCAAGUCGAACGGCAGCACAGUGGUAGCAAUACCAUGGGUGGCGAGUGGCGGACGGGUGAGGAAUACAUCGGAAUCUACCUUUUCGUGGGGGAUAACGUAGGGAAACUUACGCUAAUACCGCAUACGCCCUUCGGGGGAAAGCCGGGGAUCGCAAGACCUGGCGCGGAUAGAUGAGCCGAUGUCGGAUUAGCUAGUUGGUGAGGUAAUGGCUCACCAAGGCGACGAUCCGUAGCUGGUCUGAGAGGAUGAUCAGCCACACUGGAACUGAGACACGGUCCAGACUCCUACGGGAGGCAGCAGUGGGAAUAUUGGACAAUGGGCGCAAGCCUGAUCCCAGCCAUACCGCGUGGGUGAAGGAAGGCCUUCGGGUUAGUAAACGGCCCUUUUUAGGUUAGGGAAAAGAAAAGCGAAAGUUACGGUUAAAGUACCCGGUUUAGUU
rnacentral:rRNA from 1 species